rnacentral:RNase_P_RNA from 2 species
GCUCUGCGCAAGGCAGCCGCUGUUGGCCGCAAGGUCGAUAGAGGAAAGUCCGGACACGCCCAAUCCGCAAGGAUUUGGAGCAGGGUAGUGGGUAACGCCCAUCGAGCGCGAGCUUAGGGAUGCGAACAGAGACGCCCGAGCUGAGAGGCAAGGGGAUCCCCGCCCGACUGAAUGACUUCAGUCAUUCGGGCAGGCGCAAGGAUUAGCUUUGACGGAAACGUCGAAGGUGCAACGGCAAAAUUCCUACCUGCGUGCAAGGCCGUGCUUGUUUCGACCACGCGUGGAAACAAGAGAGCCGCUUGAGGUGGUUGGUAACAAUCAUCCCAGAUAUAUGGUUGCUACCGAUUUUGCCUGCCACAGGCAGCUGCAAAAUCGAGUAUCCCGAGCGAAGUUGAGGGACAACCCCUCGAUAGACUCAGGAUUCUCGGUUCUGCAGCCACCUGCGGUGGGCAGAGCCGGAACAGAAUCCGGCUUACAGACGCAGCGAAGGC